rnacentral:rRNA from 1 species
CCUACGGGAGGCAGCAGUGGGGAAUAUUGGACAAUGGGCGCAAGCCUGAUCCAGCCAUGCCGCGUGGGUGAAGAAGGCCUUCGGGUUGUAAAGCCCUUUUGUCCGGAAAGAAUAGGAAGAAUCAAUGACGGUAUUAUUUAUAAGGUCCGGCUAACUACGUGCCAGCAGCCGCGGUAAUACGUAGGGACCAAGCGUUGUUCGGAUUUACUGGGCGUAAAGGGCGCGUAGGCGGCGCGGUAAGUCACUUGUGAAAUCUCUGAGCUUAACUCAGAACGGCCAAGUGAUACUGCAGUGCUAGAGUGCGGAAGGGGCAAUCGGAAUUCUUGGUGUAGCGGUGAAAUGCGUAGAUAUCAAGAGGAACACCUGAGGUGAAGACGGGUUGCUGGGCCGACACUGACGCUGAGGCGCGAAAGCCAGGGGAGCAAACGGGAUUAGAUACCCCGGUAGUCCUGGCCCUAAACGAUGAAUACUUGGUGUCUGGAGUAAUUUGUGCUCCGGGUGCCGUCGCUAACGUUUUUAGUAUUCCGCCUGGGGAGUACGCUCGCAAGAGUGAAACUCAAAGGAAUUGACGG